AUGAAGAAACCGUUGUGGCGCUGUAAGUGUGAGCUCUAUACGCAAUGUGGGUACUUUCAUCAGUUCGGUAGUUCCCUCAUGCGCUGUUCUUCUCGUACACUGUCGUGUGUCUUUGACCGUGAGCUGGAGCCUUGGCACGCUGCUGGAUUCCCUUUCUGCCCUCUGAUUGGCUGUCGAGAGGCGCCGUCCUCCUGGCGACUGGCUUCUGAUUGGACAGAGCGGCUGAGCGGUUGUGGGCUGAUGCCUCGUCUCAUGAAUAUUCAUAAGCGGCAUAGAGCUACAUGCGGCCUCACCCUCGAUCCGUUGCUAGACGAGUGUGUUAUCUUUCAGCGACUUUAUCAUCGGUUUCCUUGGACUUUGCCGGACGUUUUCGGAUUUAAGGGAAGACGAAUAUCAGCAAAGGUUACAUUAUCCGGUUACGACCUGGUUACACGUUUGAUUGACGUGUACAAGCCACGCCCUUGCCUUAGAUCCACCUGCGCUUUCAGAAACUCACUUUAGUGAAGCGCACAAGUAACCUGAGCACUCUCUGGACACGAUUUAUAGUGGAUAAACCCUCCAUUCGAUCUUUCUGGACCCUCCAGCCUAAGAACAACCAACGUUACAUCUACUGCUGCUCUUCGUUCUGCCUCUGAUCAAAACCCUCCAGGUCAAUAAGACAGCAAAGAUGAUGCAAAUCUGCGAUUCCUACAACCAAAAAAACUCCCUCUUCAAUUCCAUGAACCGGUUUAUUGGUGCCGUGAACAACAUGGACCAGACGAUUAUGGUGCCAAGUUUGCUGAGGGAUGUCCCAUUGGACCAGGAAGGGGAGAAAGAGGUGAGCUCCUUCCAGGAUGGGGACAUGUACGGCUCUUAUGUGCUCCUCAAAUCAAUAAGGAACGAUAUCGAAUGGGGUGUACUUCAGGCCGACGAGAGGCGUAAGGAAAAGCAUGGCGUGACGACGGCCCUGGAGAUGUCUCGCAUUGAACCGAACGAUGAGGACUUGGAGAAGCUGUUUCAUUUUCAUCUAAACGGACUGCACACGGUUCUGUCAAAGCUCACCCGAAAAGCCAACACUUUAACAAACAGGUACAAGCAAGAAAUUGGUAUCGGUGGCUGCGGGAAUUGAAAUGAACUGGAGUUUACUCCAUCCAUUGCCGGUGGACUGCAAAAAAGUUCACAAGGGGGUGCA
ensembl:lncRNA